UAGAGUUUGAUCCUGGCUCAGAUUGAACGCUGGCGGCAGGCCUAACACAUGCAAGUCGAGCGGUAACAGAAAGUAGCUUGCUACUUUGCUGACGAGCGGCGGACGGGUGAGUAAUGCUUGGGAACAUGCCUUGAGGUGGGGGACAACAGUUGGAAACGACUGCUAAUACCGCAUAAUGUCUACGGACCAAAGGGGGCUUCGGCUCUCGCCUUUAGAUUGGCCCAAGUGGGAUUAGCUAGUUGGUGAGGUAAUGGCUCACCAAGGCAACGAUCCCUAGCUGGUUUGAGAGGAUGAUCAGCCACACUGGGACUGAGACACGGCCCAGACUCCUACGGGAGGCAGCAGUGGGGAAUAUUGCACAAUGGGCGCAAGCCUGAUGCAGCCAUGCCGCGUGUGUGAAGAAGGCCUUCGGGUUGUAAAGCACUUUCAGUCAGGAGGAAAGGUUAGUAGUUAAUACCUGCUAGCUGUGACGUUACUGACAGAAGAAGCACCGGCUAACUCCGUGCCAGCAGCCGCGGUA
rnacentral:rRNA from 1 species